rnacentral:rRNA from 1 species
AUUGAACGCUGGCGGAAUGCUUUACACAUGCAAGUCGAACGGCAGCACGGACUUCGGUCUGGUGGCGAGUGGCGAACGGGUGAGUAACAUAUCGGAACGUAUCCAAUAAUGGGGGAUAACUAAUCGAAAGGUUGGCUAAUACCGCAUACGCACUACGGGGGAAAGCUAGGGACCUCCGGGCCUGGCGCUAAUGGAGCGGCCGAUAUCUGAUUAGCUAGUUGGUGGGGUAAAGGCCCACCAAGGCGACGAUCAGUAGCUGGUCUGAGAGGACGACCAGCCACACUGGAACUGAGACACGGUCCAGACUCCUACGGGAGGCAGCAGUGGGGAAUUUUGGACAAUGGGCGCAAGCCUGAUCCAGCCAUUCCGCGUGAGUGAAGAAGGCCUUCGGGUUGUAAAGCUCUUUCGCAAGGGAAGAAAACUUACCCUCUAACAUAGGGUGAGGUUGACGGUACCUUGAUAAGAAGCACCGGCUAACUACGUGCCAGCCGCCGCCGUAA